rnacentral:rRNA from 1 species
AGUAGUUUGAUCAUGGCUCGAGGACGAACGCUGGCGGCGUGCUUAACACAUGCAAGUCGAACGAGAAUCACCGGAAGGAGUUUUCGGACAACGGAAGGUGAGGAAAGUGGCGGACGGGUGAGUAACGCGUGAGGAACCUGCCUUGGAGAGGGGGACAACAGCUGGAAACGGCUGCUAAUACCGCAUGAAGCAACGGAAUCGCAUGGUUUUGUUGCCAAAGAUUUAUCGCUCUGAGAUGGCCUCGCGUCUGAUUAGAUAGUUGGCGGGGUAACGGCCCACCAAGUCGACGAUCAGUAGCCGGACUGAGAGGUUGAACGGCCACAUUGGGACUGAGAUACGGCCCAGACUCC